UACGUAGGGUGCGAGCGUUGUCCGGAAUUAUUGGGCGUAAAGGGCUCGUAGGCGGUCUGUUGCGUCAGGAGUGAAAACUCGGGGCUUAACCCCGAGCCUGCUUCUGAUACGGGCAGACUAGAGGUAGGCAGGGGAGAGCGGAACUCCUGGUGUAGCGGUGGAAUGCGCAGAUAUCAGGAAGAACACCAAUGGCGAAAGCAGCUCUCUGGGACGGUACUGACGCUGAGACGCGAAAGCGUGGGGAGCGAACAGG
rnacentral:rRNA from 1 species